AAUUCAUGAUUAGGGCACUUCCUGAGCAUAGACUUGAAUCUAUCUCAGGCUUCACUAUGGCUUUCAAUUUUUGCUUGUGUGAAUGUAUAGAUGUUGGUUUUAAGAUC
rnacentral:snoRNA from 1 species